rnacentral:rRNA from 1 species
UACGGGGGGAGCAAGCGUUGUUCGGAUUUACUGGGCGUAAAGGGCGCGUAGGCGGCCACUGCAAGUCAGUUGUGAAAUCUCCGGGCUUAACCCGGAAAGGUCAACUGAUACUGCAGGGCUAGAGUGCAGAAGGGGCAACUGGAAUUCUCGGUGUAGCGGUGAAAUGCGUAGAGAUCGGGAGGAACACCUGUGGCGAAGGCGGCCCCCUGGGCCGGCCCUGACACUGAGACGCGAAGGCGUGGGGAGCGAACGGG